rnacentral:rRNA from 1 species
UAAGACAGAGGGUGCAAACGUUGUUCGGAAUUACUGGGCGUAAAGCGCGUGUAGGUGGCGAGGCAAGUCGGGUGUGAAAGCCCUGGGCUCAACCCAGGAAGUGCACUCGAUACUGCCUAGCUAGAGUCCCGGAGAGGUUGGUGGAACUCUCGGUGUAGAGGUGAAAUUCGUAGAUAUCGAGAAGAACACCGGUGGCGAAGGCGGCCAACUGGACGGUGACUGACACUGAGACGCGAAAGCGUGGGGAGCAAACAGGAUUAGAUACCCUGGUAGUCCACGCCGUAAACGAUGGGUGCUAGGUGUCACGGGUAUUGACCCCUGUGGCGCCGUAGCUAACGCAUUAAGCACCCCGCCUGGGAAGUACGGCCGCAAGGCUA